UACGUAGGUGGCAAGCGUUGUCCGGAUUUACUGGGCGUAAAGAGCGCGCAGGCGGCUGGGCAAGUCCGAUGUGAAAGCUUCCGGCUUAACUGGAAAAUUGCAUCGGAAACUGCUCGGCUUGAAGGUGGGAGAGGGUAGCGGAAUUCCCGGUGUAGUGGUGGAAAUGCGUAGAUAUCGGGAGGAACACCAGUGGCGAAGGCGGUU
rnacentral:rRNA from 1 species